UACGGAGGGGGGCUAGCGUUGUUCGGAAUUACUGGGCGUAAAGCGCGCGUAGGCGGACCUGCAAGUCGGGGGGUGAAAGCCCGAGGCUCAACCUCGGAACUGCCUUCGAUACUGCGGGUCUCGAGUCCGGGAGAGGUGAGUGGAAUUCCUAGUGUAGAGGUGAAAUUUCGUAGAUAUUAGGAAGAACACCAGUGGCGAAGGCGGCUCACUGGCCCGGUACUGACGCUGAGGCGCGAAAAGCGUGGGGGAGCAAACAGG
rnacentral:rRNA from 1 species